rnacentral:rRNA from 1 species
CUAUACAUGACUCUGCGCAUAUCAAUAAGCGGAGGAAAAGAAACUAACAAGGAUUCCCUUAGUAACGGCGAGUGAAGCGGGAAGAGCUCAAAUUUGAAAUCUUCAAGGUUCUACCUUGACGAAUUGUAGUUUAUAGAAGUAUUUUCUGUUAGUAGGAGUGGCAAAAGUUCUUUGGAAUAGGACAUCAUAGAGGGUGAGAAUCCCGUAUUUGGUCAUUCUUUCUAGCUUUGUGAUACACUUUCAACGAGUCGGAUUGUUUGGGAAUGCAGUCCAAAAUGGGUGGUAAAUUUCAUCUAAAGCUAAAUAUUGGCGAGAGACCGAUAGCGAACAAGUACCGUGAGGGAAAGAUGAAAAGAACUUUGAAAAGAGAGUUAAACAGUACGUGAAAUUGUCAAAAGGGAAGCGUUUGACACCAGUGUUGUUUUUCCGAAAAUCAAUUACGAAUGUUUUAGUUUUUGAGGAGUUAUGACUUCAUCGGCUUGCUUCUCUCUUUAUGAAACUUUCUUAAUGCACUUUUCGGUUAACAAGUCAACAUCAAUUUCUUUUGUUGUAAAAGGGUAUGAGGAAGGUGGCUUUCUUUUCGGAGAAAGUGUUUAUAGCCUUGUACCAUCUGCAAUCGGAGAGAUUGAGGUCUGCAGCGUAGAUCCUUCGGGGUUAGAUACAUUUGUGCUAAGUUAUAGCUUUUCAUAGACAACUUGUUGACUAUGUUUAGUCUUGUAGCUUACUCGCUGAUGCUAUUUUACCUACGCUUAGGAUGUUGACGAUCAGCUGAGCGCG